rnacentral:rRNA from 1 species
AUUGAACGCUGGCGGCAUGCCUUACACAUGCAAGUCGAACGGCAGCGGGGGAGAAGCUUGCUUUUCCUGCCGGCGAGUGGCGAACGGGUGAGUAAUACAUCGGAACGUGCCCUGUAGUGGGGGAUAACUAAUCGAAAGAUUAGCUAAUACCGCAUACGACCUGAGGGUGAAAGUGGGGGACCGCACGGCCUCAUGCUAUAGGAGCGGCCGAGGUCUGAUUAGCUAGUUGGGGGGGUAAAGGCCUACCAAGGCGACGAUCAGUAGCUGGUCUGAGAGGACGAUCAGCCACACUGGGACUGAGACACGGCCCAGACUCCUACGGGAGGCAGCAGUGGGGAAUUUUGGACAAUGGGCGAAAGCCUGAUCCAGCAAUGCCGCGUGUGUGAAGAAGGCCUUCGGGUUGUAAAGCACUUUUGUCCGGAAAGAAAUGGCUCUGGUUAAUACCUGGGGUCGAUGACGGUACCGGAAGAAUAAGGACCGGCUAACUACGUGCCAGCAGCCGCCGUAA